rnacentral:rRNA from 1 species
AAUUGUGAGUCUACCACCAUGAACAUGCCCCAUCUCAUCUGAUAUAUUGGAAGUUAAGCAGGGUCGAGCCUGGGUAGUGCUUGAAUGGGAGACCACCUGGGAAUACCAGGUCUAUAGACUUU